rnacentral:RNase_P_RNA from 1 species
AGAGUCGGCGAGAUGGUUGCAGAUUGCCCCUUGAGGAUGAUCUGAGGAAAGUCCGGACUCCCCAAAGACCAGACUUGCUGGGUAACGCCCAGUGCGCGUGAGCGUGAGGAUAGUGCCACAGAAACAUACCGCCUUUUGAAGGCAGAAGGUAGAAGGCAGAAGGCAGAAUGAUUCAUCCUGCUACGCACGGGCAAAGCCCUAUAUCCUUCAUCCUUCAUCCUUGAAAGGUAAGGGUGCAAAGGUGCGGUAAGAGCGCACCAGCAACAUCGAGAGGUGUUGGCUCGGUAAACCCCGGUCGGGAGCAAGGUCGCAGGGGCAAGGGUUGGUCUUUUGCCCGCCCCGUUUUUGGAGAACCGCUUGAGGGAUUUGGUAACAAAUCUCCCAGAUAGAUAACCAUCCUUGAACAGAAUCCGGCUUAUGUCUGGCUCUCUCU